rnacentral:rRNA from 1 species
UACGUAGGGGCUAGCGUUGUCCGGAAUCAUUGGCGUAAAGCGCGUGUAGGCGGUCCGGUAAGUCUGCUGUGAAAGUCGGGGGCUCAACCCUCGAAUGCCGGUGGAUACUGUUGGGCUUGAGUACGGAAGAGGCGAGUGGAAUUCCUGGUGUAGCGGUGAAAUGCGCAGAUAUCGGGAGGAACACCAGUGGCGAAGGCGACUACCUGGCCUGUUCUUGACGCUGAGGCGCGAAAGCUAGGGGAGCAACGGGG